AUCUACCAAAUCAUACCCUCUGCUUCUCUACUCUCUCUCGCUCACUCUCUUCUCGACGGCGCGCACCUCCAUCGUUAGGGUUCCUCUUCAUCGCUCAUACCUCCAUCGUUAGGGUUCCUCACCACCGUGCUUCAAUCAAUCAAACCACACCUUCCUUCUGCUGCUUCGUCUUCACCAUCGCUUCCAUCACUCAAGCUCGUGUGGGUUCUGCUUCUUCUUCACCGAGCCCGUCCGCUCCAGCGCGACUGCAUCCCACGGCGCGCCGCACCUUCCGCUGCCAUUAUCAAGCUUCAAACUGACAGUAUUGGGUUUGAUUCCUAUUCGGUUAAUGCAGUACGGGGACACUUCCCUUUGGAAGCAGAGGCAUAAUGACCAUGGGAUUGUCUUUCAUAUAAGGUGCUGGAUAUUCAUUAAUUCACUGCUGAAAUUGACUCCAAGUAACUUCCCAAAGGUGAAUGGAGGAAAGAAAUAGAAUCUGUUGUCGGCAAGUAAUAUAAGAAGGAAAGAUAGAGAGAGGGCAAGUGAUAUAAAGGUUUUUUGGUGGAUGAGAGUAUGAAUGGGUUGCAAACUCUUUUACAUGGUUUUUAAAUUUCUCCCGCAAAUGGUCACUUGUUGAUGCUCUUAAGUCAAAUACUUUGAUCUUUUGCCUAAGAAUAUGGACAUCCGUCAAAUUCGCGGUUGGAUGUAUAAUAGAACCAUACCUAGCCAAAGGGAGCAUACAAGUGCAUUUUUGAAUGGACUAAAUGAAUUGGAGUGAUGUGGCGUGAUGUGGCUGGCAUGAAAAAGGGUAGAAUAUAUGGGUUGGGAUUGGAGUCCACUGUUAUCAAUAAACAAUAUCAUGGCUCAUGUUCUUCAUCAUCUGAAUGGGUAAGAAGAUCAGAAUUUGAUCAAUUGAGAAACACUAUUAUGGAGGAGACUCAAAGAAUGGUAAAACAAAUGAUGGAAGAAAGGAUGCAACAACCACCAAUGCCAACCCCAAAUCAAGAGGAGUUAGAAACUGAUGAGUCAGAGAAUGAGGAGGAUCUUGGUGCUUUUCCAUGAAAACUUUGUCAAGCUUUGUUUCUAUAUUUAAUGUAAUAGACUAUGCUUAAUGUAAUAGUAAUCUACUAGACUAGUUUAAGUAGUUCAUGGUAUACUUUUUGUGAUGAUUCAGUGAUGAAUUUAUGUGGAUAUGUUAAGAUUGUGUGUUUUGUGAUGAUUCAAUGAUGAUUAUGGUUAUAUUCA